CGCAACCCCAAGUUGGAGCUGUGUGAAUUCUUCUGCUCUCAGAUGUAUUUUACACUUUUGUUUGUAGGAUGGGCAUCCAGAUGUCUCCUACUUUUCACCUGACUGCUUCCAUCCAAGCCAGAAAGGCCAUUCCCAGCUUGCCAAGGCUCUCUGGAAUGCUAUGUUACAGCCUGUAGACCAGAAAGCUGACUCAUUUGAUUUCAUGGCUGACAUUGUCCUCGACUGUCCAACCCAGAACAAACCAUUCCUGGGAACAUACAAGAACAGCAACUACACACACCCACCUGUGGAGCCCACUAACCAG
rnacentral:lncRNA from 1 species